rnacentral:rRNA from 1 species
CCUACGGGUGGCAGCAGUGGGGAAUAUUGGACAAUGGGGGGAACCCUGAUCCAGCGACGCCGCGUGAGUGAAGAAGUAUUUCGGUAUGUAAAGCUCUAUCAGCAGGGAAGAAAAUGACGGUACCUGACUAAGAAGCCCCGGCUAACUACGUGCCAGCAGCCGCGGUAAUACGUAGGGGGCAAGCGUUAUCCGGAUUUACUGGGUGUAAAGGGAGCGUAGACGGUGCAGCAAGUCUGAUGUGAAAGGUCGGGGCCCAACCCCGGGACUGCAUUGGAAACUGUUGAACUGGAGUACAGGAGAGGUAAGCGGAAUUCCUAGUGUAGCGGUGAAAUGCGUAGAUAUUAGGAGGAAUACUCAUUGCGAAGGCGACCUGCUAGAACAUAACUGACGCUGAUGCGCGAAAGCGUGGGGAGCAAACAGGAUUAGAUACCCCAGUAGUC